GUAGGUGGCAAGCGUUGUCCGGAAUUAUUGGGCGUAAAGCGCGUGCAGGCGGUUCUUUAAGUCUGAUGUGAAAGCCCACGGCUCAACCGUGGAGGGUCAUUGGAAACUGGAGAACUUGAGUACAGAAGAGGAAAGCGGAAUUCCACGUGUAGCGGUGAAAUGCGUAGAGAUGUGGAGGAACACCAGUGGCGAAGGCGGCUUUCUGGUCUGUAACUGACGCUGAGGCGCGAAAGCGUGGGGAGCAAGCAGGAUUAGAUACCCUGGUAGUCCACGCCGUAAACGAUGAGUGCUAAGUGUUAGGGGGUUUCCGCCCCUUAGUGCUGCAGCUAACGCAUUAAGCACUCCGCCUGGGAGUACGGCCGCAAGGCUG
rnacentral:rRNA from 1 species